rnacentral:rRNA from 1 species
UACGGAGGGGACUAGCGUUGUUCGGAAUUACUGGGCGUAAAGCGCGCGUAGGCGGAUUUGCAAGUCGGGGGUGAAAGCCCGAGGCUCAACCUCGGAACUGCCCUCGAUACUGCAAAUCUCGAGUCCGAGAGAGGUGAGUGGAAUUCCUAGUGUAGAGGUGAAAUUCGUAGAUAUUAGGAAGAACACCAGUGGCGAAGGCGGCUCACUGGCCCGGUACUGACGCUGAGGCGCGAAAGCGUGGGGAGCAAACAGG